UCAGACUAUUGGCUGAUCGCCCCGCCAUAGGUGGGGAGGAAAGUCCGGGCAGCAUAUGAGGAGGGCAGUUGCUAACGGCAACCGGAGGAGACUCUAGGGAAAGUGCCACAGAAACUAAACUACCUCUGUUUACAGAGGAAAAGGUGAAAAGAGUGGGGUAAGAGCUCACAGCUGUCUAUGGUGACAUAGACGGGAGGUAAACCCUGCCUGCUGCAAGGAGAGAAACGAGCAUUAAAGUUCCUCGCUGUUUGUUUCUCAUAAGACCCGCUUGACCCUAAUGGCAACAUUAGGGCUAGAUAGAUGAUCAGCCCCCCGACUUGUCGGGGGACAAAACCCGGCUUAUAGAUAGUCUGAUAAU
rnacentral:RNase_P_RNA from 2 species